UUUUAAUGAGAGUUUGAUCCUGGCUCAGGACGAACGCUGGCGGCGUGCCUAAUACAUGCAAGUAGAACGCUGAUGUUUGGUGUUUACACUAGACUGAUGAGUUGCGAACGGGUGAGUAACGCGUAGGUAACCUGCCUCAUAGCGGGGGAUAACUAUUGGAAACGAUAGCUAAUACCGCAUAAGAGUGUUAACACAUGUUAGUUAUUUAAAAGGAGCAAUUGCUUCACUGUGAGAUGGACCUGCGUUGUAUUAGCUAGUUGGUGAGGUAAAGGCUCACCAAGGCGACGAUACAUAGCCGACCUGAGAGGGUGAUCGGCCACACUGGGACUGAGACACGGCCCAGACUCCUACGGGAGGCAGCAGUAGGGAAUCUU
rnacentral:rRNA from 1 species